rnacentral:rRNA from 1 species
GACGAACGCUGGCGGCGUGCCUAAUACAUGCAAGUCGAGCGGACAGAAGGGAGCUUGCUCCCGGAUGUUAGCGGCGGACGGGUGAGUAACACGUGGGUAACCUGCCUGUAAGACUGGGAUAACUCCGGGAAACCGGAGUUAAUACCGGAUAGUUCCUUGAACCGCAUGGUUCAAGGAUGAAAGACGGUUUCGGCUGUCACUUACAGAUGGACCCGCGGCGCAUUAGCUAGUUGGUGAGGUAACGGCUCACCAAGGCGACGAUGCGUAGCCGACCUGAGAGGGUGAUCGGCCACACUGGGACUGAGACACGGCCCAGACUCCUACGGGAGGCAGCAGUAGGGAAUCUUCCGCAAUGGACGAAAGUCUGACGGAGCAACGCCGCGUGAGUGAUGAAGGUUUUCGGAUCGUAAAGCUCUGUUGUUAGGGAAGAACAAGUGCAAGAGUAACUGCUUGCACCUUGACGGUACCUAACCAGAAAGCCACGGCUAACUACGUGCCAGCCGCCGCAGUAACAC